UACGUAGGGGGCAAGCGUUGUCCGGAUUUACUGGGCGUAAAGAGCGCGCAGGCGGUCAGAUAAGUCGAAUGUGAAAGCCCCCGGCUCAACUGGGGAGGGUCAUUCGAUACUGUUCGACUCGAAGGCAGGAGAGGGAAGUGGAAUUCCCGGUGUAGUGGUGAAAUGCGUAGAUAUCGGGAGGAACACCAGUGGCGAAGGCGACUUCCUGGCCUGUUCUUGACGCUGAGGCGCGAAAGCUAGGGGAGCAAACGG
rnacentral:rRNA from 1 species